AACGAACGCUGGCGGCAUGCCUAACACAUGCAAGUCGAACGAGACCUUCGGGUCUAGUGGCGCACGGGUGCGUAACGCGUGGGAACCUGCCCUUAGGUUCGGAAUAACUCCCCGAAAGGGGUCCUAAUACCGGAUAAUGUCUUCGGACCAAAGAUUUAUCGCCUUUGGAUGGGCCCGCGUUGGAUUAGCUAGUUGGUAGGGUAAAAGCCUACCAAGGCGACGAUCCAUAGCUGGUCUGAGAGGAUGAUCAGCCACACUGGGACUGAGACACGGCCCAGACUCCUACGGGAGGCAGCAGUGGGGAAUAUAGGACAAUGGGCGAAAGCCUGAUCCAGCAAUGCCGCGUGAGUGAUGAAGGCCUUAGGGUUGUAAAGCUCUUUUACCCGGGAUGAUAAUGACAGUACCGGGAGAAUAAGCUCCGGCUAACUCCGUG
rnacentral:rRNA from 1 species